AACGAACGCUAGCGGCAUGCCUAACACAUGCAAGUCGAACGAGACCUUCGGGUCUAUUGGCGCACGUGUGCGUAACGCGUGGUAACCUGCCCUUAGGUUCGGAAUCACUCCCCGAAAGGUGUGCUAAUACCGGUUAAUGUCUUCCGACCAAAGAUUUAUCGCCUUUGGGUGGGCCCGCGUUGGAUUCGCUGGUUGGUAGGGUAAAAGCCUACCAAGGCCACGAUCCAUAGCUGGUCGGAGAGGAUGAUAAACCACAAUGGGACUGAGACACGGCCCAGACUCGUACGGGAGGGAGCAGUGGGGAAUAUUGGACAAUGGGGGAAAGCCUGAUAAAGCAAUGCCGGGGGAGUGAUGAAGGGCUUAGGGUUGUAAAGCUCUUUUACCCGGGAUGAUAAUGACAGUACCGGGAGAAUAAGCACCGGCUAACUCCGUG
rnacentral:rRNA from 1 species